UAAGGAAUAUUGGUCAAUGGACGCAAGUCUGAACCAGCCAUGCCGCGUGAAGGAUGAAGGUCCUCUGGAUUAUAAACUUCUUUUAUAGGGGACGAAACAACUGGUUUCUACCGGUCUUGACUGUACCCUAUGAAUAAGCACCGGCUAACUCCGUGCCAGCAGCCGCGGUAAUACGGAGGGUGCAAGCGUUAUCCGGAUUUACUGGGUUUAAAGGGUGCGUAGGCGGGCUUGUAAGUCCGAGGUGAAAUCUCUGAGCUUAACUCAGAAACUGCCUUGGAUACUAUGAGUCUUGAAUGUCGUUGAGGUUUGCGGAAUAUGUCAUGUAGCGGUGAAAUGCUUAGAUAUGACAUAGAACACCUAUUGCGAAGGCAGCAGGCUAAACGAAAAUUGACGCUGAGGCACGAAAGCGUGGGAGUCAAACAGGG
rnacentral:rRNA from 1 species